UACAGAGGGUGCGAGCGUUGUCCGGAAUCACUGGGCUUAAAGCGCGUGUAGGCGGAGGGCUAAGUACCUUGUGAAAUCCCCGGGCUCAACCCGGGAACUGCGUCCGAUACUGGGUGGCUUGAAUUCGGGAGAGGGAUGCGGAAUUCCGGGUGUAGCGGUGGAAUGCGUAGAGAUCCGGGAAGAACACCGGUGGCGAAGGCGGGUUAGCUGGGCAGUUGCUGGACACUGAGGCGCGACAGCGUGGGGAGCAAACAGGG
rnacentral:rRNA from 1 species